rnacentral:rRNA from 1 species
UACGUAGGGUGCGAGCGUUAAUCGGAAUUACUGGGCGUAAAGCGUGCGCAGGCGGUGAUGUAAGACAGGUGUGAAAUCCCCGGGCUUAACCUGGGAACUGCAUUUGUGACUGCAUCGCUGGAGUGCGGCAGAGGGGGGUGGAAUUCCGCGUGUAGCAGUGAAAUGCGUAGAUAUGCGGAGGAACACCGAUGGCGAAGGCAAUCCCCUGGGCCUGCACUGACGCUCAUGCACGAAAGCGUGGGGAGCAAACAGG